GGGGAUGUAGCUCAAUAGUAGAGUGUAUGCUUAGCAUGUGCCAGAUUCUGGGUUUGAUUCCCAGCAUCACAG
rnacentral:tRNA from 1 species